GGUUGCGUGGCCGAGUGGUCCAAGGCGCAGGAUUAAGGUUUACUCCUGUCCGAAAGGGCUCCUGUCCGAAAGGGCGCAGGUUCGAACCCUGCCGCAGCCA
rnacentral:tRNA from 1 species